AGCAGCCGCGGUAAUUCCAGCUCCAAUAGCGUAUAUUAAAGUUGUUGCAGUUAAAAAGCUCGUAGUUGAACUUCGGGAUCAAUGGAUCGGUCAUGCCAUCGGUAUGUACUGGUCUCAUUGGUUCUCACCUUCUAAGGAACCAUAAUGUCAUUCAUUUGAUGUUUUGGGGAAUUAGGACUGUUACCUUGAAAAAAUUAGAGUGUUUAAAGCAGGCUAACGCUUGAAUACAUUAGCAUGGAAUAAUGAAAUAGGACAUCGCAUUCUAUUUUGUUGGUUUCUAGGAUCGAUGUAAUGAUUAAUAGGGAUAGUUGGGGGCAUUAGUAUUCAAUUGUCAGAGGUGAAAUUCUUGGAUUUAUUGAAGACUAACUAACUGCGAAAGCAAUUUGCCUAAGGAUAGUUUUCAUUAAUCAAGAACGAAAGUUAGGGGAUCGAAGACGAUCAGAUACCGUCGUAGUCUUAACCAUAACUAAUACCGACUAGGGAUCGGAUGAUGUUAAUUUUUUAAUGUACUCUA
rnacentral:rRNA from 1 species